rnacentral:tRNA from 1 species
AUUUAUAUAGUAUAUAUAUAUUAUAUUUGACUUCCAAUCAAAAGAUCUAUUAUUUAGUAUAAAUA